rnacentral:rRNA from 1 species
UACGUAGGGGGCAAGCGUUGUCCGGAUUUAUUGGGCGUAAAGAGCGUGUAGGCGGCUAGGUAGGUCCGUUGUGAAAACUCGAGGCUCAACCUCGAGACGUCGAUGGAAACCAUCUAGCUAGAGUCCGGAAGAGGAGUGUGGAAUUCCCGGUGUAGCGGUGAAAUGCGCAGAUAUCGGGAGGAACACCCGUAGCGAAGGCGGCACUCUGGGCCGUGACUGACGCUGAGGAGCGAAAGCGUGGGGAGCAAACAGG